AAAGUGGAUCAUUGAAAGUCUCGAAUCAGCUAUAGCCUAUCUUCACAAUAAUGAUAUUGUACAUAGAGAUUUGAAACUGGAAAACAUAUUGGUUAAAAUCAACCUUAUUGAUUAUAACAAUGAAAUAAACUCAAACAUAAAGGCAAUUGAUUUUGGUUUAGCGGUGAAGAAGCAAAGUAGGAGUGAAGCCAUGCUGCAGGCCACAUGUGGGUCUCCCGUCUAUAUGGCCGCUGAAGUUAUCAAUGCCCAUGACUAUAGCCAGCAGUAUGACAUUUGGAGCAUAGGCAUCAUAAUGUACAUGUUAUUAUGUGGAGAACCACCCUUUUUGGCAAGCUCAGAAGAGAGUCUUUUUGAGUUAAUAAGAAAAGGAGAACUACAUUUGAAAAUCCAGUCUGGAAUUCCAUAAGUGACUGUGCUAAAAGUGUUUUGAAACAACUUAUGAAAGUAAAUCCUGCUCACAGAAUCACAGCUAAGGAACUGCUAGAUAAUCA